AGACUUGAUGAAACAGCAAUAUUUGCUUUGCAAAGGGAACAACCUUACCAUUUAUUUACCGAGUCAGUCAGUAGAACUACGCAAUGCCAUUUCAUGACCACGACAGUCAGUCAGCGGUACAGCUUGGCGUGCGCCACACCCUAAAUACUAAAUAGCUAUGUCGCCUUAUAUUGUUGGGAGGAGGAGGAGUGAACCCAGGUUUAUAAGCUGCGCAGUAUUAUUGAUACUCGUGGUCAAAAUAAAUUUCUGCAGUGGAUUUCUUUUUGUUAUAAAUCAGCAAUGCGUGGCCUCUACAAUAUGGACCCCAGUUCCCUCCACGGUCAACAAUUACUGUUUGCAAUGCGUCUGUACGACCACGAAUGUGUCCUUUUGCAAACCAAUCCUAGUGCAAUUUAGUACAAUUUGUUCCGGAGCCGUGGCCGUGGCCACUGUUCCGCCCCUCAUCAACCCUCGAGCACCUGUCCCUGGGGUGCCAGCCGCAGUAGCGCCUGGAGUCGUUGCACCCCUACCUGUGGCACCUGCGCCAGGAUAAUAUAUAUUCCCAUUUCGAAUAUUAUGCUCUUUAACAAAAUAUGUUUCAAUGCAAAAGUGAACUCUGGCUUCUGUAAUUGCUUAAAAUGUCGAGACUAAUAAAAUCUAGCCGUCACUGCAGCCGACAGCCGUGACCCCUAAUUAAUAUAACUAUAAUUCA